rfam:Streptomyces griseus subsp. griseus NBRC 13350 DNA, complete genome.
CUUGAGGGAGCCGAGCCGCAGGGGGUGCUCGGGGUCGCGGUCGCUGCCGUACGUGGCGAGCAGCGCCUGGGCCUC